rnacentral:rRNA from 1 species
GGUUAAGCGACUAAGCGUACACGGUGGAUGCCCUGGCAGUCAGAGGCGAUGAAGGGCGUGCUAAUCUGCGAUAAGCGCCGGUAAGGUGAUAUGAACCGUUAUAACCGGCGAUACCCGAAUGGGGAAACCCAGUGUGACUCGUCACACUAUCAUUAACUGAAUCCAUAGGUUAAUGAGGCGAACCGGGGGAACUGAAACAUCUAAGUACCCCGAGGAAAAGAAAUCAACCGAGAUUCCCCCAGUAGCGGCGAGCGAACGGGGAGGAGCCCAGAGCCUGAAUCAGCAUGUGUGUUAGUGGAAGCGUCUGGAAAGGCGCGCGAUACAGGGUGACAGCCCCGUACACAAAAGCGCAUGUGCUGUGAGCUCGAUGAGUAGGGCGGGACACGUGGUAUCCUGUCUGAAUAUGGGGGGACCAUCCUCCAAGGCUAAAUACUCCUGACUGACCGAUAGUGAACCAGUACCGUGAGGGAAAGGCGAAAAGAACCCCGGCGAGGGGAGUGAAAAAGAACCUGAAACCGUGUACGUACAAGCAGUGGGAGCCCCACCACUAAGCCAGUGGUGAACUCCACAUACGCAUCCUUUGCUGAAGGCAAUGGUUAACGGAGCGAAAGCGACGUUCAACCGCAAAACAAGCAGAGGGGGCUUAGUGGUGGGGUGACUGCGUACCUUUUGUAUAAUGGGUCAGCGACUUAUAUUCUGUAGCAAGGUUAACCGUAUAGGGGAGCCGGAGGGAAACCGAGUCUUAAU